UCUAAAAGAAAAAAUUAGGUUUUUCAAUUUGGUAUUUCAUUUAAUUCAGUAAAAUAAAAAAUGAAACCGAACCCCAAUUGCUAAACUUUCAAGUUUCAGCUCCCCACUCUUCUCCCUUGAUUCUGUCAGUUUCUUACCUUUGGGCGAUGGGUCGUGGCUCUCCGCUUCCAAACCAAGGCAGACAGCCACGGCUCCUCUCCAUUUCAUUUCACAUCUUCAAAACUCCCUUCCUGUCUAGUUCACAAGAAUCAAUCCCCUUUCUCCUCUCAAGACUUUCUAAUUUCCAAAACUCAGUGUUUCAAUCUACCCAUGUUUACGGUCUCUCUAAUUUCUAAUCCUCUCUCAUCUGAGAUCAGAGAUCAGAGAUGCUCGGUAGGUCCUUUGUGAUUCUUCAUCAGUCGCAGAGAGUCACUUGCAGAUGCAAUUCUUCAAGCUCUCAGGCCCCUAAGAACUGUGAUUUUA
rnacentral:misc_RNA from 1 species